AUUGAACGCUGGCGGCAUGCCUUACACAUGCAAGUCGAACGGCAGCACGGGUGCUUGCACCUGGGGGCGAGUGGCGAACGGGUGAGUAAUACAUCGGAACAUGUCCUGUAGUGGGGGAUAGCCCGGCGAAAGCCGGAUUAAUACCGCAUACGAUCUACGGAUGAAAGCGGGGGCCCUUCGGGCCUCGCGCUAUAGGGUUGGCCGAUGGCUGAUUAGCUAGUUGGUGGGGUAAAGGCCUACCAAGGCGACGAUCAGUAGCUGGUCUGAGAGGACGACCAGCCACACUGGGACUGAGACACGGCCCAGACUCCUACGGGAGGCAGCAGUGGGGAAUUUUGGACAAUGGGCGAAAGCCUGAUCCAGCAAUGCCGCGUGUGUGAAGAAGGCCUUCGGGUUGUAAAGCACUUUUGUCCGGAAAGAAAUCCUUGGCCCUAAUACGGUCGGGGGAUGACGGUACCGGAAGAAUAAGCACCGGCUAACUACGUG
rnacentral:rRNA from 1 species